AGGGGGUUAGCUAGGUGGUUUAACAGUAAAUUUACACUUUACAAACAGUGUUUCGAUUACUCUACUCUAUA
rfam:Paxillus rubicundulus Ve08.2h10 scaffold_2805_c1, whole genome shotgun sequence.